rnacentral:lncRNA from 1 species
UGGCUUCCGGGAGAUCCAUUUCUCUAGUCGACCUCAAACUGUACGGACCGUGUUUGGCUCUAGUCUAGUAUUUAAUUAGUUAGUAGUCUAGUGUUGAUAUUUAAAUUACGUGUUCUGUUCAUCUUCUUCUCAUAUAAUCCGCAAUGCUACUCGGAUCGUGAAGAAACACGAGCCAGAUACAGUCUCACCGUUUGAGGUGGCUAUGGAAGAAGUGGUUAGGAAGAGAGAGGAUACUGCCAAUCGAGAUGUCCAUGGGCACUGAGCACAUCUAGGAAGCUGAGAUACCAUUCUUUCUGGUCCUAGUCUGUCAUCGAUUUGGUUUGUAAACUGUAUCGAACCAAAAUAUUCUAUUAACUUUGAAAUUGGAACUUUUUAAAGCGAGACUCAAUUUAGUGAACAAUGAUUUGUAGAGUUUAAUUAGAUUUAGAGACAAUGUGUUCAAAUAUUAGGCCAUCCAGAAAAUUCUUCGGUUUCUCAUAGAUGCCCAUCUUAAAUUGUUUUUCUAAAAUUUAAUGAUGAAACUCAAACUUUGAAAUGAUUUUUUGUUUGUUUGCAUGAUAUACUUGAUUGUGGUUUCAUAUUAUACGCUUUAAUCUCUAUGAAAACUGCAGAAUAUCAUGGAUGACCCAUUUCAGGAUUAAUUUGUAGCAUCACUGGAAUAACUUGACUAAUGGUUCAUGUACCUGUAUAAUUUUUGUAAUUAUUUCCAAUGUGAUACUAAAUCGUAGCAUUUAAUAUUUUACUGUGAUAAAGAUAUUGUAAUAUUAAAAUGAUCUCAAGUUGUAGAGUAAUAGAAUUUGAUGUACAGUAGACUUUUGUAUAACACGGUUAAUACAUUACACAUUAUAGGACAAACAAUUUCCUAUGUUUAGUGUUUUGGUAUAAAUUUCUGAGAACAUAUUUGAUAUUGAAAAAAUUCUUUUUUGCAAAUUAAUCUUAAUAAUUACUAACUAGUUUUGUACGAAAGUCUACUGUAGAAGACUAUUGACGAAAAUGUUAAUUCAUAUUGAAUUUUGUAUAUUGAUAUAUAUAUAUAUAUAGAUGACGAGAUGAAUAACGGAAGUAUUCACGAAAAUAAAUUGUUUGAAAUAAAAAUGAUUUUCUUCAUAUAAUCUGCCAAUAUCAUCAUACACAUCAUAUUAAUACCAUAAAUCCUUUUCAGUCUGGCAUUCACCCUAGAAAAUCCUUGAGCAAGAGAAUACUAAACAAAUAUCGCUGAAGCAAUUGGUUAUCGGCUCUGAAGUUGUUGGCCUGCCCAUAACCUGUAGGAAUAAGGUGUGCGGUGAGACGACAAGAUAUGUAUCGAGUGGAAAAAGGGUGGGUUAGUCUUUGUUUUUAGAAGGUCGUGCAAGCUGCACUUUGAUCUCCAAAUGUGUGGGGGCCCAGUCGAGCAUAAACAUGUACCUACCCACCAUAUCUUCGCACCGCCAGCACACAACCAACUCGCGAGUCUUCUCAAAAACUUCAGCGCGUGAUGCACAAGGCUCACUACGAGGCAGAAAACUCGUACCACUGUCUGGUGAGCUCUUUCGUAUUGCCAACCACCACCACCCUUGUAACGUGUUUCUUCAGAUUCGGAACAUUUCUACUGAACGUGGAAGAUUCUCAAAAACUCCUCCAGUGCUUGCGCUGCUAAUACCAAUUUACUCUGGUUGUUGACAUGAUGCAAAUUGGCUAUGCCAGUAUACAAUCAACUUCAUCGAUACAUUUUAUUAGCAUAAGUUUUGAGGUAUGAUGAUUCGUAAUGCAUGUCAGUAAUUAAAACAAAGAAAUAUGAGAGAAAAUGAUCUAUGGUAAAUAUGAGUAGUAGUUUCACACAAAAGAUUUAUGAAUGAAGAAUAGCAAUGGGUUUUACUAACAAAGCCAGCGAUGAUGAUGAAGAUGAUGCAUAAGUUUUUACAUUUUUCUAUGCUCUUUUGGUCUCUGUGUGCGCAAUAAUUAUUUUCACAGAUACGAUGUGAUCCUGAAAGAUACUUACCCCCCUCGGUGGCAUAAAGGUACCCUCUAUAUCAAUAUGUUUAUAAAAUUAGGGAUGGAAUUUGUGCGUUAUGUGUUUUCUAGAUUAAAUGGAAAGCAUGGUCAAUAGAAUCUAUCUCACUGAGAUGUACAGAACAGGAAUUAAUUGAAGGAAGGAGGUAUCCCUUACAAGUAUUAGAUGUAUUACGAACUGACAUGUAUGAAUAUAGAAGGACAGGGGGCAGGUGUAUGUUGAGAAUUUUUUUACUUCAGAAUGUUCUAUUUCUCUAUAUGGAUUUUUCAUUCUUCACUCUAACAAUGGAGAUAGGAUUUAGCAAUGAUGAAAACUGCUUUGGAUGGAAGAAGUUGCUGGAACAUGAUAGAAAGUCUAAAUACUUUGGUCAAUGCAAUUUUGUUUUAAGCCCUGAGAAAAAUUUAUUUGAUAUCAAAACUUAGUCACAAUUAAUAAGCGUUAAACUAUAUUUGGUUUUUAAAUAUGAAACAAUAUAUCAAGAACAACAACAUUGGAAAAUGACUGACUGGCUUGAAAGAAAUUUGCUUAUUGAUAUGAAUAUAUGUUUUGAAAUCUAUAUUCUGUUGUGAGGCUUCUUUUGGGGCUGUUCUGUUUUUCACAGUUAUCAUAGACAAAUUUUAAUGCGCUGGAAGAUUGCUGGAAUUGUAUAUAUUAUAACGCUCAUAUUAUCUCUCAAUGUCUGGCUUAAAUUGGAAAAGGUAUGUUGGAGAUUCCGGAUUAUUUCACAUUCUUAUUCCAGUUACUACUAAUCAGCCCCAAAUAUCGCAAACACAUGGCUUUGGAUUUCGACUGGAUCCUGGUACAUUACAAUCGCUAAUAAUGUAUUUGUAAGCAAAUUUUACAUAAUGCAUAUAUUUGUACAUAGUCGGAUGUGCAAUUGAACGAUUUUUAUUAUUAUUAUUAUUAUUAUUAUUAUUAUUUAAACUUGCGUAUUUGAUCGUUUGGAAAUAGUUUAUGUGGUAAGGGUGGGCAAAGCAAAAUGUUGUUCUGAGCUACAGGAAUGUUGCUGUAUUUCGUGCAAUUACUAAAAUGGAGAAGACUCAUUUGGAUACAUCUCUGCAGUCUAACAAGAUAUGUUGUUGAACAAGAAAGAACAUCCAAACACUACUUAAUGAAUAUACGUUAAAAGAAAAGUAGACAAAAACGCAUAAUAUUUAUUAUUUAGCAAUGAUUCUUCCAUAAAAGUAUUUCUUGUUGUUCACCAAAGUUUAAAUAACAGGUUCCUGCACUGCACGCUGAUAUCAUAUGAUAAUAACAUACAUCCACAACAUUCAUCAUUUGAACAUAAAUUUAAACAAAAUAUUAAGAAGACGGAUAUAUGUUGUAAGAAUUCAUGUUCUAAUAUUCAGACAUUUCCCAAGUAUCAUAAUUUUCAAUAGUAUGUGUGUACGUCACAAGGUAUUUCAACUUAUAUACCUAAAACAAUUUUAUGCAACUCUUUAAUCAAUAUAAUUUUUCUUUCUUUUUGUUUUUUUUAAUAUAUGUAUAUAGUUUAGAUUCGUAGAUUGUUUUAUGUGAGAAUUAGGGAAGGAAAGGGGAGGGCAAAAAGAUCUUGCAUUUUCUUUCCACAGAGAUGCUAGCUGAACUAUGCACAUUUCCCCAUCAGGUAUUCUUGUGAUAUCAGCCAAAGCAUGUGCAGCAUGGUAGUCUACUUCAGAACGCAUUGUACCUAGCCAUUGGAAGAUUAGAAUAUAGCUAUUUGAGAAACGCACUUUUGAAACUGCUAAUUGGUGGAAAAUUUCUUCUUCAUGGGAUGCAGAUAUUAACAUGUCCAUUGAACGCAUAUAUAUUCAACAACCAUCCUUACAUCAGAAGAUAAUACCGCACAGAACAUCCAUCCGUAUGUAUCAUGUAGAUAAAAAAAAAACACAUCUAUUAUUUGAAUUUUACAACACCAUCUAAAGAGAAAAGGAUAAGGCAACGAAUGAUACUCUAAAGUAGAUAGCUUGUGCAAUUGCAACGAUUUUAUUAUUUAACAAGCUGGUACGAUAUAAUGAUAUUAUUUACAAGACUCGUCAAUAUUGGAGUAAAAUAAUUCUCUGAGACAAGAAUUCGAAUUGAAGUAUAAAAGUCAUCAUUUUCCAGAUAGAAAUGUUUCUCAGGUAAAUAGUAGGUGUAUUGUGAGAGGGAAAUUAAUAUUUUUUUUGCAGGAAAAUGAUAGAGAUUAAAAAUGACAGAGAUUAAAAAUAACAUUGUUUCUAUAGAAAAAAAGAACACAUGGAAGAAGUAUAUCAAACAAUUAUCAAUUUUAUUUUUGCUGCAAUGAUUGAUUGGUUAAUUUCGUUUAACAUAUAGAGUAUAACAACAUACAUACAAGAUACAUAAUAUAUUACAGAUUUGCUAUCACAGAAUAGAAAUUUUUUCUUCGCUUAUUUAUGAAACCAGGCAAUUUAUGAAAAUAUUUCAAAUACACGGCUGGUAAUAUUUGAACAUAGGAAGAGGAGAAGGAAUACUACUGAAAGUGUAGGCUGUGUGAAACUAGUGCAUUCGUUCGUUUAUAUUUAAUUAUGCUAUGAUGUGAGAAAGUUCUUUGAUAUAUCAAAAAUACGUGUGAAUAAAACCAAGUUUUGUGUAAUGUGAUAACCAAGCAAGUGUUGUACAUCAAGCUCAAGAUAUAUAUGUAUAAUGCGCAUCAUGAUUGCUAAAAUUGGGUGGAAUAUUAAGUUUGGUAGUUAAUGUACGUUCGGUCUUGAAUAUAUAGAAAGUAAUUGGCGCAUUACAAUUGUCCAAAUCUACCAAAGUAAUUUAAUGAAUGAUGCUUGGUAAUUAAAAAUUCUCUGUGGCUGGAAGAGGUAGAAAUAAUAUUAUUAUUAUCGUAGAAAUGGCUUUUGAUGCUAGCAAAACUUUGGUGAGUGAAUUUCGUGAGUUGAUAUAUAUAUACAUAUAUAUAUAUAUUUUUUUUUUCUUCUAUUAGAAAAAGACAUUAUGAGACUUAACAAUUUUUUAAUGGCUUUAUUGAUUGAUAUGCUGUUUAUUAAGUGCUGUGUAUUGCGCGCUUUUAAACUUACUUCUUCAUUGGUUCUAUACUACACAUUGUAUAAUAAUUGGUUACUUUGCUUCCAAAAUGAUUGUGUACUGCUGUAUAUCACAUCAGUGUAUUGAAAAAUUUAAUAAAUUAUUUAGAAAUUUUGGGGCGGGGAGGGGGAAGGGAGGGGUACUAAUAAUUUGAAAAUUCUUCAAUAGCAUUUCAGAUUUAGCAUCACUUGUGCGAUAUAUAGAAAAAUUUUCUAGCAUUAUGGGUUGUUCUCUUAGGAUCAAGAAUACGCAUGAGAUGAUGGAUGUGCACUAUACUAAAUAGCAAAGAGAAAAUGUCCAUAAUUAAUAUUUAACUCGACUGUUUCUCUGUAAUACUAUAAUAACGCUUAUCUUCUCCUGUUUCUUUAAGUACAGUAUUAACUGAGGUAUUUUUUCUACAACAAUUAUUUUACUUAACGUAUUGUUAAGGAUAGAUUUUGGUAAUUUUUUCCUAGAUCACACAUUUUUCCUAAUUUGUGCAGAAGCAACAUAUAUUAACUUACAACCAAUUUAGAUAUUUAUAACAUCCAACUUGAUUGAAAAUUAUUAUAGCAUUUGGUCAAUAUCAAAAAUGUAUUACAAGAAGUAUUCAAUGCAGGAAGGAAAGCACAGAAAUCAUAGCAACUUCAUCGAUAUUGAAAAGCAUUAUGACAAGUUUUUAAUACAGGAAGAAAAACAGAAUUAAUCAUUAUAGCAGUUUUUGUCAACAUUGAAAAGUAUUAUGACAAGUUUUCUUAAUACAGGAAGAAACACAAAAAUCAACUAUUUUUUAUAGAUGCCAUACAUUUAUAUAAGCAAAGUUAAAAUAAUCAAUGAAGAUUCUUGGAAGAUAGUCGAUCGCGAUUUUCUCAGGACUUCAGUAAUACUGUUAAAGCUCGGAAUAAAUCUAGUCAAUGGAUCCUUAAAAACAUCGAUGGUAUCCCAAUGCCCGAUCAAACUAAAAGGAUGGGAUUGGUCGUCGAAUAAAACCGUGGUGUGACGUCCAUCGGUAGUCUACUAAUUUUGGAAGAUCUUCAUAUUCGGCAUCAUCGUCUCUUGGGUUUAUGCCUUCAUAGUCAAACUUUUAGCAGCCGAAAUUAUCAUUGGGAUGAAUGCUACACUGAAAAUAACUUUUAGGAACGUUACUCGUGCAGUACGACUUUGGAAAAUUUUGUCGAAGUUUUUGGUAUCGCAGGCAUCAAAAUAAUAUCUACUAUCGGAGAAUUAAUAAUUAAUGGGAUAUCCACAUUUGCCGUUUGCUGUAUCUUCUUCCUCUUCCUGGAUGUUACUAUUUUCCCCAUAUGCGAUUAGGAGAUGAUAUUUUUCAAUUGACUCGAACCAUCUUUAAAACAGGCCUUGGGAUAAAUAAUGCAGAGUUCCAGCAAAAUAGCAUAUUUUUUCAUUUUUAAAAGAUAUUUUUUUUUAUAUCUAGUUGGGAGACUUCCAACCUAUCGAAGAUAAGAUUUAUUAUUUCAACAUUUAUUAUUUUCAUGGAGUUUUCAUUUUUAACAUUUGUGUUGGUUGUUACAUUAUUUUUAGUAUUUGUCACGUUUUCAACUUUUUUUUUAGAUGCCAUAAGCGUGUUAAUGCACUGUGCAUUGCUGGCCGCUUGUAGAAAAA